UUAUAAUUUAACAGUGUUUGAUUUGAAGCAAGGACAAAGACAGUAUUCAUCAGCAGGUACAUUAAUGAGUAACUUAAAAAGCUGUUCUCUCAUCCCACACUGCAGGAGGCCUUGAAAAGAACAGAGCCUUGGUGACCUUGGCACGUCCCGUCACCUCCACACGCCUCUGUCUCAGCCAGCAGUGGAAGUGCACAGGAGAAGGACCCCUACACAGAAGAGCUCUGCUGCCAGCCAGUUGGGAUAUCCUGGAGAAAUAACUUCGAAAGUCAUUACAGUCUUCCUGAGUAAUUAUAUCCUUCAACACCAAGUACGAAAAGAAUUGCCUGAAGUGGCCAUUCUGUCUGCGUCACACAAACAACUGAGGUGGUUUUGCAGCUUGGAGUUGAAAUGUUCUUUGACCUUUUCUGCUCUUUUUUUAAAGCUGUAUAAACUUUCUAUGGCCUAUACAUGGAGAAGAGAAUGCGGGGAAAUGAAAUGUCUAUAUGUUAUC
rnacentral:lncRNA from 1 species